rnacentral:rRNA from 1 species
GCAGGGAAUCUUGCGCAAUGGGCGAAAGCCUGACGCAGCGACGCCGCGUGGGGGAAGAAGGCCUUCGGGUUGUAAACUCCUUUUCUGGGGGAAGAGAGAGGACGGUACCCCAGGAAUAAGCCUCGGCUAACUACGUGCCAGCAGCCGCGGUAAUACGUAGGAGGCGAGCGUUGUCCGGAUUUACUGGGCGUAAAGGGCGUGUAGGCGGUACGGAAAGUCUCUGUUGAAAUCUCCCGGCUCAACUGGGAGGGAUGCAGGGAUACUUUCGAACUAGAGGACAGUAGAGGAGAGUGGAAUUCCCGGUGUAGUGGUGAAAUGCGUAGAUAUCGGGAGGAACACCAGUGGCGAAAGCGGCUCUCUGGGCUGUACCUGACGCUGAGGCGCGAAAGCGUGGGGAGCAAACCGG